CCUUCCCUUAAAGAUCCAACCUCAAUUUCGCUGUUACAGUCAGAGUUUCUACACAAACUCUUGUCUCUCAUGAACUGAGGUAAGGCAUUUCUCACCAACA